UACGUAGGGUCCAAGCGUUGUUCGGAUUUACUGGGCGUAAAGGGCGCGUAGGCGGCGUGGUAAGUCACUUGUGAAAUCUCUGAGCUUAACUCAGAACGGCCAAGUGAUACUGCUGUGCUAGAGUGCAGAAGGGGCAAUCGGAAUUCUUGGUGUAGCGGUGAAAUGCGUAGAUAUCGGAAGGAACGCCGGUGGCGAAAGCGACGCACUGGACCCUUUCUGACGCUGAGGCGCGAAAGCCAGGGGAGCAAACGGG
rnacentral:rRNA from 1 species